CAACGAGCGCCAACCCCUAUUGUUAGUUGCCAUCAUUCAGUUGGGCACUCUAGCGAGACUGCCGGUAAUAAACCGGAGGAAGGUGGGGAUGACGUCAAAUCAUCAUGCCCCUUAUGACCUGGGCUACACACGUGCUACAAUGGUUGGUACAACGAGUUGCGAGUCGGUGACGGCGAGCUAAUCUCUUAAAGCCAAUCUCAGUUCGGAUUGUAGGCUGCCAACUCGCCUACAUGAAGUCGGAAUCGCUAGUAAUCGCGGAUCAGCACGCCGCGGUGAAUACGUUCCCGGGCCUU
rnacentral:rRNA from 1 species